GAAGUCGUUACUUCAACCCUUGUGGAGGAGGACGCCGAAGGUGGGGCUAAUGACUGGGGUGAAGUCGUAACAAGGUAGCCGUACCGGAAGGUGCGGCUGGAUCACCUCCUAACAGGGAGACAACAAAAUGUAAAUAUUAAUUUUGUCACCUUAGGUCGAUCGGUAUCUCAGAUUCUUACUAUUUAAGAAUUUCAGUUUCUAAGUCUUUUCUAGGUCACACCCAUCACUUUUUCCUGGGCCAUUAGCUCAGGUGGUUAGAGCGCACCCCUGAUAAGGGUGAGGUCCCUGGUUCAAGUCCAGGAUGGCCCAUAUCUCUAUGUUGGGGGUAUAGCUCAGUUGGUAGAGCGCCUGCUUUGCAAGCAGGAUGUCAGCGGUUCGAGUCCGCUUACCUCCACUGAAUACCACCUCUUACAUAUUUUUAAAGAGGGAAAUUGUUAUGAGUCGUGUCCUAAUUUGCUCUGAGCGAAUCUAGCUUCCUAUUUUUAUUCAAUAAAUAAGAUGCUGGACUCAUUGAAUUUUUUUCACUGUUUUCAGAGAACCUUGACAACUGCAUAGAUUAUUUUGAAGACAAUAAGCAUCUUUAAUGGUGCAGAUUUAUUAUUUGUGCGAAUGCAUUAAAUAACAAUUCUAUUAAGCUGAUGCUUCAAUUAUUGAAGUUAUUGGUCAAGCUACAAAGGGCUCACGGAGGAUACCUAGGCACACAGAGGCGAUGAA
rnacentral:misc_RNA from 1 species